AUUUCCAUCAACAACGAAAAAAAAUAAAUUUAUCAAAGCUGCAAUGUGCCUUGUUUACUAGGUUUCUUUGUUUUUUUUUUUUGUUUUUUAAGUAAAUUUGUAGUUGCAAUUUUGUAUUGAUAUUCUUUCGAAACAUAAUUAAUGAAUUCACUGAGAGUUCAAGUUAUAAAAAUGAAAAAAGGAAUUCGUUCCAUUCAUUGUCCCCUCGAAGAAAAUCGUCAACGUCGACCACACCAUUCACGUCACAGAAAUAGCAGUCAAGUCGAGAUGAUACUGCUGCUACCGAUACUGGUGCCUCCGUUUCAACACCAGAAGCAUCAGCAGCAUAACCUCUACACUAACAUCAAGUCAAUAAUCAUUCGUGGAGGACAGUAUCAAUAAUUCAAUGAGCUCUGAAAAACGCAAAGAAGAAUGUUUCCCACAAAUUCAAGGAACGCAUGGGAAUACACUUUUUGAUGCUUUUCAAACUUAAAUGGAAUAAUUUUUAUAGUGGUUAAGAAGAAGAAUAUUGUCAACUUUUCAUGAGUCUCGAAGAAUUCAAAGAGGAGACAAUAAACAAUUCGCAGCUCAGGAAAUUACUUUGGCUAAAAUAAUCAACGAUAAUAUAGCCAGCCAUCAAUUAGGAAAUAGGUGGUCCAAAAAGACGAAACCGAUAAUCUGAAAACUCCAUGGGCGAAAAGUCCACUGACACUAAACAACUUCUUAACUCCUUGACUGUUCUAGACAAUGAAUGCAAAGAAUCAAUCCCACACCGGGUUUUGGCUGAAAAAAGGUGCCUACGAUAUAAUCAUUACGCUACUCGAACAAGAAUUCUCUUCAUCCAAUCCAGAUAAAGAAAAUCUUUACUUAAUGUGUUUGUACAGCAAUCGUUGACCAAUCAACAACCGAAUCUCUACGACGAAGAAGUCCUGGCCAUUCUUUCAUUCUUUAUUUAAUAAGAUGUCUUGUUGUUGAUGCUCGGGUUUUUUCAUUCAACAAUAAAGUUUUCGUUAGAAACAUUUUGUUCAUGAAUAAUUGAGUUCAAUGAUUAAAAAAUAAGUAAAUAAAGUGCAAAAAGAUAACAAAAGGUGUGUUUUUGAUUACGCCCGUGCAUUGGACAAAAACAAAACGAAUCGAUUAUUGCCGAUAGCAAUUUACAAGGUAAAUGCAACAACAAUGCAACUAAGCCAGAGGGUGUAAGGUGUUGUUGCAUUUAACAUUUUAAUUACUUAGCCUCGACUGUUUUUUUUUUGUCCAACUUUUUGCUGAAGAAAAUUCUGUGGAAUGUCCGGAAAAUGACCAGACUUGUUGAAUACUUAAAUAUUAAGUACUUUUUGUUUUGAUAUUUUUUAACAAAGAGGACCUAAUCCCUAUCUUUGAGAUAACAGAAUAACUCAUCAUGGAUUGUGGGUGUUUUUUGACCAAACAUUUUGUCAGUUUGUAUGAUUUGGAAUACUGAUUUUACUAAAAGGAAAAAUAAGCUAAUAUUAUUAUUUUUAACAAUUUUUUAUUCUAUACUUUUACAAAUAAAUGCUUUUGGUCUACUCAAGUCAUAUCUAAUUAUCUUAGGUAUGAUUCUAGAAUUUCGAGAAGUUUGUGCAUCAAAGAUAGCCGAGCAUCAAGAUUUGGAGUUAAGCGCACAAAAUUUAGAGUUUAGCUAGUGGGGAGUAGGUCAACUCAAAACUCCAAAAAUGAUUCAUCAAUCGAUUCAACAUUCUUUUUAGGCAUAUUAUAUUAAGAAAAUACAUACCUGUUUUAUUUCCAAGAUUUAACUACAUAUAUUGGAUGUUUUACUUGCACAAAAAAAAAAAAAAAAAAUAACACAUUUAUCGGAAUAUAAAUUUCGUUGAACGGUGCAGUCUAUUGAAACACUACAUAUUUUGGCGUCCUAAGAAGAAAAUUCCAGAAGCUGAGUAUCAUGCCUUCUAUAAACCUUUCCAGAUGCUACAUUUUGUACACCUGUAAAGCUUUAUAAGAAUAAAAUUGUUAUCAUGAUAAGAAGCUUUUAAUGACCGCUGUCGUGGAUUCCUAUAGGAUUAAAUGCUUCUCGACAUCGUUAUAGUGUGCUUAUAGAUAAUUUUCUCAUCACACCUAUAAUCCCACUAUAAGAUACUCCUAAAAAGUUUUUUAGAAGUAUAAAUAUCAGCGUUUACUGAUAAUUUUUUUACCGUGGGUAGUAUACCAGCCUUAUAGGUGCGAAUAGUCCUUUAGACUUGAAACCCGUAAGCAAAAAUGUUAGUUGGUAUAUACCAACAGGAAUUAGAGUGAAACCGCGCCAAAAAUACCUACUUGCCUCAACUCAGUGACGUCAUCGACGCGCACAAAAUUGUGAAAAGCAACACCAAACAUGCGCAAUGCCAUAUCUUUAGUAGUUGUAUCAUGGGUAAGACGUACGAAAAUUUCCAGUCUUGGUAUAGUUUAUCGAUGGUCAAUACCUUAUUACCCCAUUUUGUAAGAUGGCGGCUCUAAAGCAUGGAAUACACGAUACAAUCAUCGUACAGGACUUGAGAUGUACCGAUAUCGGUAACAAUAUCGAAAGAAAGCACAUACACCGUGCGAUUCACUAACGAUUUUAUUAUCUGUCAAAUUAAUUUUCUCAUUUUUAUCCAUUAUUUGGAUGUAAGUUAAAAAAAUUUUAUGUAAUCUCAAAAACUCAAUCUAGGUGAAUUAAAAGCCCACACACGGUACAGCCCCCAACUAACAAUUUCGAUGUUAUAACGAUGGUGAGAAGCUUUUUGUCAUCAAUAAUUUCACACCUAAAAGACUCAUAUAACCCUGUUUAUCAUUAAAAAGGCCCCCUUUUUUUACUCCUAUUAAACCUAUAAGAAGUACAAUGAAAUACUCCUGUAAAGUUUCUCAUCAGUAGCCGAAAGUGGUAUUCGAUCCUAUAGGUGUGGGAAGAAGUACACUAUAAGACUACUGUAAAGUUUGUCAUCAACAAACGAAAGUGGUGGAGGAGAAAUAAAAAGUGAGGUUGGAUAUAAAAGGAGGGGAAAUAAAAGGAGGAGAAAUAAAAAGAAAUUAAA